rnacentral:rRNA from 1 species
UACGUAGGGGGCAAGCGUUGUCCGGAUUUAUUGGGCGUAAAGAGCGUGUAGGCGGCCAGAUAGGUCAGCUGUGAAAACUCGAGGCUCAACCUCGAGAUGUCGGCUGAAACCAUCUGGCUAGAGUCCGGAAGAGGAGAAUGGAAUUCCUGGUGUAGCGGUGAAAUGCGCAGAUAUCAGGAAGAACACCAAUGGCGAAAGCAGCUUUCUGGGACGGUACUGACGCUGAGACGCGAAAGCGUGGGGAGCGAACAGG